UGGGCAAGACAGUUCUUUUCUGUCCAUGU
rnacentral:piRNA from 1 species